rnacentral:rRNA from 1 species
UACGGGGGGGGCAAGCGUUGUUCGGAAUUACUGGGCGUAAAGAGUGUGUAGGCGGUGCUCUAAGUCUGUUGUGAAAUCUCCCGGCUUAACUGGGAGGGUGCGGCGGAGACUGGAGUGCCAGAGUGUGGGAGAGGUAAGCGGAAUUCCUGGUGUAGCGGUGAAAUGCGUAGAUAUCAGGAGGAACACCUGUGGUGUAGACAGCUUACUGGACCACGACUGACGCUGAGACACGAAAGCGUGGGUAGCAAACAGG